rnacentral:tRNA from 1 species
CUAAUAUGGCAGAAUAGUGUAUUGGAUUUAAGCUCCAAAAAUAAAGUUAUACUUUUUUUAGAA